rnacentral:pre_miRNA from 1 species
AAUAAGUGCAGUUUUGCACUGUUUAUAUUCAACGUUUGACUAUUUAUCUUAUUUAAAAAAUAUGAUUAGUAUUUUUAUUGUUAUUAGAUGGUAAAACAUGAAUAAUAUUUUAUGUGUGACUAUUUUUUAAAAAAAUUUAUAAAUUUUUCAAAUAAGACGAACAGUCAAACGUUGGAUUUUGGAAC